UAGGUGCCAAAUGAAAUAGAAACAAGGGGCCAUAUGAAAAUUUGGUCUAAUCCGAGAAGAAAAGAAAAAAAGUGAACAACCACAUAAAUUUCUCUAAUCCCUCAUCUCCUCUCAUUGAAUCCCUAAACCCUAAACUACCCAAACCAGCUCCCUAAAUCAGUGUCGCCUCCUAUGCCCCUCUCUCUCUUUCACUUAGUUUCCUCUGCCCUCUCUCUCCCUCUCAUGCGAGUCACGUCAGUAGUGCGAGUCAUCCUGGUACUCUCAAAUCAAUUUCGAUGAGCCGCUGAAACACACCAUGACCGUGCCACUUUCCCCGUCAUUCUUUCUCUUUGAUAUUUCUCCCGCCGAAAGCAAGAACCUAGGCAAGAACACUCGGACCUCUGUUAUUCUGUGAGUCUCUCCAGCCCUUCCUUCCCUCACCACCGUUGAUGACAUCAGGCCAUUGAUGGCUGAAGGAUGAUCCCUUGAAGCACCCCAUGACACCCUCCCUUUUUCUUUCUCUCUGCCUCAGCCCUCAGGCGACAAGCAAGAACAAGGGCCCAAAUGGGGUUUUCUCUUUUUCUCUAUCUUCCUCUCCAUGCGUCUCAUUCUCAGGUCUACCGAUUGAAUGAUGAUGGAAAAUGGGAUGAUAAAGGUUGGGCAUGUCAUUCUUGACAAUUUAGAGUGCAGAUGACAUUUUUUGAAAGCAAGAAGGUAUUUGUGUGCUGGUCAGUGUGUUUUUUCUUCCUCUGUGAUAACCUCAAUUGCGCCAACAUGAAUUUGUAUUUAAUUAUAUGUUUCUUUCUCUUUUGUUUGGAAGAUACAAUCAUCUCAUGAUGAGAUCCAGAAAUUUCUUCAGAGUUAUCAUUUAACUUUCAAGAGACAACUCAUAACAGGCUACACUUACACAUGAAGAGAAAAGUGCAAGAAUUGAAGCAGCGAAUUGAAGAAUUGGAAAAUGAACGUAGUAUUAUUUCAGGGGAUAAAUUAUAAUUUGUAUGAAAACUAUCAGAAUCAUUGAACUCUACUGCUGCUCAAGAGAAAUUAGAUGAUGUCAAGAGGCAAAGAAAGAAAUGUUAAAGCUUUGUUCCCUUGUUCUUAUGCUUCUCUCUUCCAAAGUAUAUGGUAUUUUUGGUGGCAUUGUUCGGCAAGAAUUUGACUAUAGAUUCUUGGCUGAUAAAUACUUAAUUCUUACUCUUUGCCUUAAACUAUCUAUUCUAAUUGUAAUAUUAUUUUGAGGAAAUAAUUUUUGCAUUGGAUACACAUAUAUUUUAGAAUGGUAAUUAGAGUUUGGUUGCAUAGUGGCCUUGUUUUUAUAUAAACAAAAAGUAUAAUAAAUUUUUUGAAGCUCUACUUAAUGUCUUAACAAUACUUGGAUUCACUUAUGGGCACAUGUCAAUUUUGUUUUUUGGUUAGGUGAUAAAAAUUAUGUAAACAAUUAUCAUAUUUACGUAGUCUUGGCAUUAAAUGUGAAUUGCAAGUAGCCAUUGGGUAUUUUUAUGAAUAACAUUGAACCUAGUAGCCAUUGCUUGAUUGUUCUGUUGCUGUAUAUAAUUAUUGCUGCUUGUUGUGGAAGCACCACUCAGAUAUUAAGUGAUGUUAUCCAAUAAGGACUCCUAAGUUAAUGCCCCUCAUUUUUGUCAGUGGGUAUUCUAUCACUAGCGCAUUCAAAUUUUUGAACUCUACAUAGGGUCAGGAUAUAGAAUAUAUCUACACUAUAGCGGUUCUGAAAAAUGUCUGUGGAUUUCUUUAUAGUUGUGUUUGCACUUUAGUGAAUAACAGUUAUUUCUUUUAUGAAGCUUAACAUAUGCUCUUUAAAUUCCUUGAAGGUGCCAAGAGUAAAGUAUAGUGUUUAGUAUUGAGAAAUAAAAAUGGCCUAUUACACUUUGACUAUCUCAUUUUGGUUCUUUUUGUAUUUGUUUCUAUUUUCUAUUGUUAAUACGGAAAAAGGCUAUUGAUAGGCUGGAUUUAGAAAUGUAUCAGAUUAUAAUAGUUAUUAUUAAAUAAUGUUUUUUAAUAGAUAUUAGUAAUAGUGAGGAAUAUUGUAGUUAUUUUGGUAUAGUUUAAAUUAGUUAUUUCCUUGAGACAUAGUUUCACAGUUUAGAAUAUUAUUGAAGAGUUUUCCUUCAUUAUUUAUUAACAAAGUACUUGCUUAUAUUUUUAAAGUUGGUAAUUUAAUCAUGCCACAAUUACAUAGGUCCAUUUACUUAAACAAUUUCCUUGUUUCCUAGUAUUGCAUACAAUGGAAUAAUACCAAAUUCUGAUUAUAUUACUAAGUUAUUGGGAAUUCAGUAGAAAUAUGCUUGCUCUUAUAAACUCUAGUUAAGAUUAAGUUGCAUUGAUUUGUAUUUCAUUGUUUUAAUUUGUAUUACUACAGGGGAUGUCAUUGUUUAUUACUUCUGAGAGAAAAUAUUAUCAUGAAGGUAUUGGACUACUCUGUCUGGAACCAUUUUGACAAGUUUGCUGAUUUUAUUUGCACUGUAUUCUUUUUUCUUAUUUAUAGCUUUGGUAAGUUAUCGUUUAUAUGAAUACAUCUGCUCAGAGUGAGGAGCAAUCAAACAAUGUUCAAUCAAAUUCUCAUGUUCCUUCCCCUGCAGUAAUUAUGAUACUAAUUACAUGAAAAUGAUAAAAUUUAGAACUUAUAUUAUUCAAUAUAAAAUCACUUACUUCUUACUGAUGGUGAAUUUGUUUUAUUGAUAUAUUGUUAGAGUGUCAAGAAUCACACAUUUGGCUCCAAAUGCAAAAUAUUAUGCAAAAUAUUAGAUUGGAUUGGAUUGGAUCUGGUGAAAUUAUUGCAGAAGGCUAUUUUGUUUCAAGUGACUCAAAGGAUGAGGUUCACCAUGUUCCUCUUGGGCCUGGUGUUAUGAAAGUGGGGAUAGAUCUUGUGAGAAAGAAUGAUGCAUUUAUGUGGAGGCCUUCAGGAGUUAUGUCUACUAUAGAAGAUGCUAUAGGUAGUAUAAUUGUAUAACCAGCUGAUAAGGUCAAAAUUAGCUAAGCAAAUCAACCCACAACAAAGACAAGUGCGCAAUGGAUGAUGAAUUGAAGGAUGGAGCAAGUUUCAUAGUUUACUUUUUGUGUGUCUUGCUAUGUUUUUGUUUUUCAUUUUAGAAGUAAAAGAUGUUCAAGAUUAUAGAAAUUUAUUAUGUAUGCUUUCAAACUUAAGUUAGAAAUAAGAUCUCAUGAAGUAGCCACAUUCAUGGUUUGAAUUAGUUCUUGUUUAAUGUAAUACUUUUGGUUUAUCAAUCUAUUUAAUAUCACAUUUUGC